AAAAAUGUCUGAAGAGGUUGGAGCAUGCAGGGAGAAGGAAGACAAUAGUGUCAUUCUACCCGCCACUACAAUCAACUCUAAGGAGAAGAAAAUAUCGGAAGACAGUUCAAAAAUUGAGACAGCGCAAUUAGUCACUACUGUGCACAUAAAGUGGAAGACAAUAGUGUCAUUCUACCCGCCACUACAAUCAACUCUAACGAGAAGAAAAUAUCGGAAGACAGUUCAAAAAUUGAGACAGCGCAAUUAGUCACUACUACGCACAUAAAGGUUUUACAUAUACACGUGUCUUAUGACUCAGCUAUUCUGGUAGAAAAUGACAUUCCCUUACAUCAUAUGGGGAUCGGUAUGUUGUAUUUUGUAGAGCAUUGCCCCUUGUCAUCUUUAUGAUCUAAAUAAAAUAAUACGAAAUUACCAUGUAUUGUUAUUUACUUUGUUAUCUAAGAAUUUAAGAGACAUGGAUAUUAGAUUAAUGAAUAUAGUUUUUUUACAAUUAAUAAAUAUACACUUUUCAGAACUAAAAGCAAUCAUAAUGCCAGCCAUAUGCUUUCUAAUGAUCCUCUAUUCACAAGAGGGCAUUGUUUGUGCGCCUUCGGAGUUCGGACCACAUGUACAAACUCUGCUUCUUAUUAGUUAAUGCUGGAAUCAUUCCGCAUUUCUUUUCAUAAAAAAAAUGUAGAGACUAAAGCUUUACUUAAGGUAAAUGAUUGUGAAGCUUUUGUUAUCACAAAAUAAAUUUUCUUUUCUGCGCAUCAAGCUCCAAAUUUAGUUUUAAUUUCAUUCUCCAGUUUCGAGUAAUCACAAGCAUUGGUACAAUAAUAUUGGGCGUCAUUUUUGCUAAAAAAAACUAAUUUUGACCACAGUAGUCUGCUAAAAAUUCCAUCAUCACUUGCAUUAAUGUAACCAUUGACCUUUUACGUGCUUUGGCGGGUUCGUUUCAGCUAACCAGCCCCUUCACAACUUAGAAGGUGUUUCAUUGUCAUGAAAGUAGCCACUCCUAUGUCCAACAUUUCACUUGUAUCUUCAACCUCUGUAUCUACACAAAGAUAAAUUGUGAAAGGAAGACAUUUUAGAAGUCUUUCUAAAGAAAAAGUGAAAAGCAAGUUUUAAGAGUUCAAAAUGUCAGCUGCUGAGCUGCAGUAUGUACCCCCAAUAUUUGAUUCCUCGCAUUCUAUAGCUUUUUCAGCCCUAAGCCUUUGUGAUUCCUGCUAUGAUUUUUUUGAUUGCGACCUUUGUCAGAUCAGUUCCAAAAUACCAUGUACAGUUUUGAGGUGAGAGCAUCGUGAUCCAAGGUGUGCGGAUA